rnacentral:rRNA from 1 species
ACUCACGCUGGCGGCGUGCUUCACCCAUGCAAGUCGCACGGAAAGGCCCUGCUUUUGUGGGGUGCUCGAGUGGCGAACGGGUGAGUAACACGUGAGUAACCUGCCCUUGACUUUGGGAUAACUUCAGGAAACUGGGGCUAAUACCGGAUAGGAGCUCCUGCUGCAUGGUGGGGGUUGGAAAGUUUCGGCGGUUGGGGAUGGCCUCGCGGCUUAUCAGCUUGUUGGUGGGGUAGUGGCUUACCAAGGCUUUGACGGGUAGCCGGCCUGAGAGGGUGACCGGCCACAUUGGGACUGAGAUACGGCCCAGACUCCUACUGGAGGCAGCAGUGGGGAAUAUUGCACAAUGGGCGGAAGCCUGAUGCAGCAACGCCGCGUGCGGGAUGACGGCCUUCGGGUUGUAAACCGCUUUCGCCUGUGACGAAGCGGGAGUGACGGUAAUGGGUAAAGAAGCACCGGCUAACUACGUG